GAUGAACGCUGACAGAAUGCUUAACACAUGCAAGUCUUUGGCGAAGCUGUGCUUGCACAGCCUAGCCAAGGCGGACGGGUGAGUAACGCGUAAGGAACUUGCCCUGCAGUCAGGGAUAACAGACGGAAACGACUGAUAAGACCUGGUAAAGUCAGGCGGACUCAUGUCCAGCCUGAUGAAAAGAGAUGCUGCAGGAGAGCCUUGCGUCCUAUUAGCUUGUUGGUGGGGUAACGGCCCACCAAGGCGAUGAUAGGUAGCCGGCCUGAGAGGGUGGACGGCCACAGGGGGACUGAGAUACGGCCCAUACUCCUACGGGAGGCAGCAGUGGGGAAUAUUGGACAAUGGGGGCAACCCUGAUCCAGCAAUUCUGUGUGCACGAUGAAGGUUUUCGGAUUGUAAAGUGCUUUCAGCAGGGAAGAAAAAAAUGACGGUACCUGCAGAAGAAGCGACGGCUAAAUACGUG
rnacentral:rRNA from 1 species